rnacentral:rRNA from 1 species
GAUGAACGCUGGCGGCGUGCCUAAUACAUGCAAGUCGAGCGAACGGACGAGAAGCUUGCUUCUCUGAUGUUAGCGGCGGACGGGUGAGUAACACGUGGAUAACCUACCUAUAAGACUGGGAUAACUUCGGGAAACCGGAGCUAAUACCGGAUGAUAUUUUGAACCGCAUGGUUCAAAAGUGAAAGACGGUCUUGCUGUCACUUAUAGAUGGAUCCGCGCUGCAUUAGCUAGUUGGUAAGGUAACGGCUUACCAAGGCAACGAUGCAUAGCCGACCUGAGAGGGUGAUCGGCCACACUGGAACUAAGACACGGUCCAGACUCCUACGGGAGGCAGCAGUAGGGAAUCUUCCGCAAUGGGCGGAAGCCUGACGGAGCAACGCCGCGUGAGUGAUGAAGGUCUUCGGAUCGUAAAACUCUGUUAUUAGGGAAGAACAUAUGUGUAAGUAACUGUGCACAUCUUGACGGUACCUAAUCAGAAAGCCACGGCUAACUACGUG